GAUGAACGCUGGCGGCGUGCCUAAUACAUGCAAGUCGAGCGAACAGAUGAGGAGCUUGCUCCUCUGACGUUAGCGGCGGACGGGUGAGUAACACGUGGAUAACCUACCUAUAAGACUGGGAUAACUUCGGGAAACCGGAGCUAAUACCGGAUAAUAUUUUGAACCGCAUGGUUCUAUAGUGAAAGACGGUUUUGCUGUCACUUAUAGAUGGAUCCGCGCCGCAUUAGCUAGUUGGUAAGGUAACGGCUUACCAAGGCAACGAUGCGUAGCCGACCUGAGAGGGUGAUCGGCCACACUGGAACUGAGACACGGUCCAGACUCCUACGGGAGGCAGCAGUAGGGAAUCUUCCGCAAUGGGCGAAAGCCUGACGGAGCAACGCCGCGUGAGUGAUGAAGGUCUUCGGAUCGUAAAACUCUGUUAUUAGGGAAGAACAAAUGUGUAAGUAACUAUGCACGUCUUGACGGUACCUAAUCAGAAAGCCACGGCUAACUACGUG
rnacentral:rRNA from 1 species